rnacentral:rRNA from 1 species
UUUAUGGAGAGUUUGAUCCUGGCUCAGGAUGAACGCUGGCGGCGUGCCUAAUACAUGCAAGUCGAGCGAACAGACAAGGAGCUUGCUCCUUUGACGUUAGCGGCGGACGGGUGA